rnacentral:rRNA from 1 species
UACGGAGGAUCCGAGCGUUAUCCGGAUUUAUUGGGUUAAAGGGAGCGUAGGCGGGUUGUUAAGUCAGUUGUGAAAGUUUGCGGCUCAACCGUAAAAUUGCAGUUGAUACUGGCAUCCUUGAGUACAGUAGAGGUAGGCGGAAUUCGUGGUGUAGCGGUGAAAUGGCUUAGAUAUCACGAAGAACUCCGAUUGCGAAGGCAGCCUGCUGGACUGUAAACUGACGCUGACUGGCUCGAAAGUGUGGGUGAUCAAACCAAGGAAGUAGU